UAGCUACAACCGCGUUGUUGAAAUGUUUACAUCUUCAACAACGGACGCCACGAAGGAGAGGAUUUCUAAAUGAUUUCCGGGCCGGAAGAGUAAGCGUUGUUGUGGCAACAGUCGCCUUUGGGCUUGGAAUCGACAUUCCGGACGUGUGGCUCGUGGUCCACUGGGGCGCACCGCGCUCUAUCCUGUCUUACUGGCAGAGCCGGUAGCGAUGGAGAUCCCGCUCUUGCUCUAGUUUUCGCGUACCCUCGGUCCAUAACGGAUUGCCAUGACGCUAUGAAGACCAUGGUGAAUGGGACGGAAUGCGUCAGACGUACCGUUCUGAAGGAGCUAAGAACUAAAGACAUGAAUCCUAUUCCUGCCCAAGGCGAUGGUUGUCAAGAUGACACAUGUGAAGUGUGUGUUUGCCAGUUGUGUAUUUGUUGUAACAGAUGCUCACGAAGCUGUACAUGUUUUGGA